AUUGAACGCUGGCGGCAUGCCUUACACAUGCAAGUCGAACGGCAGCACGGGAGCAAUCCUGGUGGCGAGUGGCGAACGGGUGAGUAAUAUAUCGGAACGUGCCCAGUAGUGGGGGAUAACUGCUCGAAAGAGCAGCUAAUACCGCAUACGACCUGAGGGUGAAAGGGGGGGAUCGCAAGACCUCUCGCUAUUGGAGCGGCCGAUAUCAGAUUAGCUAGUUGGUGGGGUAAAGGCCUACCAAGGCAACGAUCUGUAGUUGGUCUGAGAGGACGACCAGCCACACUGGGACGGAGACACGGCCCAGACUCCUACGGGAGGCAGAAGUGGGGAAUAUUGGACAAUGGGCGCAAGCCUGAUCCAGCAAUGCCGCGUGCAGGAAGAAGGCCUUCGGGUUGUAAACUGCUUUUGUCAGGGAAGAAAUCUUCUGGGUUAAUACCUCGGGAGGAUGACGGUACCUGAAGAAUAAGCACCGGCUAACUACGUGCCAGCAGCCGCCGUAAUAC
rnacentral:rRNA from 1 species